GACGAACGCUGGCGGCGUGCUUAACACAUGCAAGUCGAACGGAAAGGCCCUGCUUUUGUGGGGUGCUCGAGUGGCGAACGGGUGAGUAACACGUGAGUAACCUGCCCUUGACUUUGGGAUAACUUCAGGAAACUGGGGCUAAUACCGGAUAGGAGCUCCUGCUGCAUGGUGGGGGUUGGAAAGUUUCGGCGGUGGGGGAUGGACUCGCGGCUUAUCAGCUUGUUGGUGGGGUAGUGGCUUACCAAGGCUUUGACGGGUAGCCGGCCUGAGAGGGUGACCGGCCCCAUAGGGAUAGGGGAGCGACCAGUGGGCAAACGGGGGGAAUGGGCGGGAAAUAGUGCAAGAUGGGCGGAGGGGGGGAGGAGGGACGCCGGGUGGGGAAGGACGGUUGUGGGGUAGGAAAACGCGUUGGCUAGUAACGAGGCGUGAGGACGGGUAAUGAGGAAAAAGGCACGGGUUAACUAGGG
rnacentral:rRNA from 1 species